GGAGUUUGGACCGUCUCUCAGUUCCAAUGUGGCCGAUCACCCUCUCAGGUCGGCUACCCAUCGUCGGUUUGGUGGGCUUUUACCCCGCCAACUGCCUAAUGGGACGCGAGUCCAUCUUCUGCCGGAUUUCUCCUUUGACCUCUCUGCCAUGCGGCAAUGUGGUCUUAUGCGGUAUUAGCAGUCGUUUCCAACUGUUGUCCCCCUCUAUCAGGUAGUUUCCCAAAUGUUACUCACCCGUCCGCCACUCGUCAGCUAGAAAAGCAAGCUUUUCUACUGUUACCGUUCGACUUGCAUGUAUUAGGCCUGCCGCCAGCGUUCAAU
rnacentral:rRNA from 1 species